rnacentral:rRNA from 1 species
GGUUAAGCGACUAAGCGUACACGGUGGAUGCCCUGGCAGUCAGAGGCGAUGAAGGACGUGCUAAUCUGCGAUAAGCGUCGGUAAGGUGAUAUGAACCGUUAUAACCGGCGAUUUCCGAAUGGGGAAACCCAGUGUGUUUCGACACACUAUCAUUAACUGAAUCCAUAGGUUAAUGAGGCGAACCGGGGGAACUGAAACAUCUAAGUACCCCGAGGAAAAGAAAUCAACCGAGAUUCCCCCAGUAGCGGCGAGCGAACGGGGAGCAGCCCAGAGCCUGAAUCAGUGUGUGUGUUAGUGGAAGCGUCUGGAAAGGCGCGCGAUACAGGGUGACAGCCCCGUACACAAAAAUGCACAUGCUGUGAGCUCGAUGAGUAGGGCGGGACACGUGGUAUCCUGUCUGAAUAUGGGGGGACCAUCCUCCAAGGCUAAAUACUCCUGACUGACCGAUAGUGAACCAGUACCGUGAGGGAAAGGCGAAAAGAACCCCGGCGAGGGGAGUGAAAAAGAACCUGAAACCGUGUACGUACAAGCAGUGGGAGCACGCUUAGGCGUGUGACUGCGUACCUUUUGUAUAAUGGGUCAGCGACUUAUAUUCUGUAGCAAGGUUAACCGAAUAGGGGAGCCGAAGGGAAACCGAGUCUUAACUGGGCGUUAAGUUGCAGGGUAUAGACCCGAAACCCGGUGAUCUAGCCAUGGGCAGGUUGAAGGUUGGGUAACACUAACUGGAGGACCGAACCGACUAAUGUUGAAAAAUUAGCGGAUGACUUGUGGCUGGGGGUGAAAGGCCAAUCAAACCGGGAGAUAGCUGGUUCUCCCCGAAAGCUAUUUAGGUAGCGCCUCGUGAAUUCAUCUCCGGGGGUAGAGCACUGUUUCGGCAAGGGGGUCAUCCCGACUUACCAACCCGAUGCAAACUGCGAAUACCGGAGAAUGUUAUCACGGGAGACACACGGCGGGUGCUAACGUCCGUCGUGAAGAGGGAAACAACCCAGACCGCCAGCUAAGGUCCCAAAGUCAUGGUUAAGUGGGAAACGAUGUGGGAAGGCCCAGACAGCCAGGAUGUUGGCUUAGAAGCAGCCAUCAUUUAAAGAAAGCGUAAUAGCUCACUGGUCGAGUCGGCCUGCGCGGAAGAUGUAACGGGGCUAAACCAUGCACCGAAGCUGCGGCAGCGACACUAUGUGUUGUUGGGUAGGGGAGCGUUCUGUAAGCCUGUGAAGGUGU